rnacentral:tRNA from 1 species
GGGAUUAUAGUUUAAUAUAAAACAUCUAAAUUGCAAUUAGAAGAAGCUAAAUUAAAGCUCAUCUCA